GAUGAAGAACGUAGCGAAAUGCGAUAAGUAAUGUGAAUUGCAGAAUUCAGUGAAUCAUCGAAUCUUUGAACGCACAUUGCGCCCGCCAGUAUUCUGGCGGGCAUGCCUGUUCGAGCGUCAUUUCAACCCUCAGGCCCCCAGUGCCUGGUGUUGGGGAUCGGCCCAGCCUUCCUGUAAGGCCGCCGGCCCCGAAAUCUAGUGGCGGUCUCGCUGUAGUCCUCCUCUGCGUAGUAGCACAACCUCGCAGUUGGAACGCGGCGGUGGCCAUGCCGUUAAACACCCCACUUCUGAAAGUUGACCUCGAAUCAGGUAGGAAUACCCGCUGAACUUAAGCAUAUCAAUAAGCGGAGGA
rnacentral:misc_RNA from 1 species